UGUGCAGCAGGCCAACCGAGA
rnacentral:miRNA from 1 species